GACGAACGCUGGCGGCGUGCCUAAUACAUGCAAGUAGAACGCUGAAGGAGGAGCUUGCUUCUCUGGAUGAGUUGCGAACGGGUGAGUAACGCGUAGGUAACCUGCCUGGUAGCGGGGGAUAACUAUUGGAAACGAUAGCUAAUACCGCAUAAGAGUAGAUGUUGCAUGACAUUUACUUAAAAGGUGCAAUUGCAUCACUACCAGAUGGACCUGCGUUGUAUUAGCUAGUUGGUGAGGUAACGGCUCACCAAGGCAACGAUACAUAGCCGACCUGAGAGGGUGAUCGGCCAAACUGGGACUGAGAAACGGCCCAGACUCCUACGGGAAGCAGCAGUAGGGGAUCUUCGGCAAUGGACGGAAGUCUGACCGAGCAACGCCGCGUGAGGGAAGAAGGGUUUCGGAUCGUAAAGCUCUGUUGUAAGAGAAGAACGAGUGUGAGAGUGGAAAGUUCACACUGUGACGGUAUCUUACCAGAAAGGGACGGCUAACUACGUG
rnacentral:rRNA from 1 species